GGGGGUGAACAGGAUUCGACGAGAAUGAUAGAGAUAAUGACAGCAAGCCGGAGUUGGUCGAUGGCUCCGAAAAAAUCGACCAAAAAAUAAACAAUAAACAUAUUGUUCCAAUGCAGCAAACUGUUGCAAGCUCUUGUACUUUUAGAGGUUUGCAGGGAAUGCUGAUGAUGGCUGCUUAAAUACAGCUCCGUUUUACCUUAAACACCUGCUAUAAGGAUAAAACGACAAGAGCAGGUUAGUUUUAAGCGACUUAAUACCGUUAGCUUAAAAUGAAAUUAAAAAGUAUUGGUUUAUAGCGUAAUUUCGUUCGGAGAAAGCGCUAUUUAAAUAAGGUAGUACUUCCGAACUAAGCUUGUAGUGGUCAUAUCAAAACAUUUUCGGACGCGGGUUCGAUUCCCGCCACCUCCAUGU
rnacentral:tmRNA from 1 species